GUAGCUUGCAAGAAUGACCCACCACUCACGAAACAACUUUACAAUGUAAAGAAAAUAAUAAUUGUUACCUAUUAUCUGCCUAUUAUAUGCCUUACAUAGUGCGUAAAAAGUCCAAAUAUAAUUGUUGAAUAAAACAAGAAACAAGGUGUCUUGCUGGGAAUAUAUUUAAAAGAUGAAGUCACUUGUGUUUUGUUUAAUAGCUACACUUUUUAUCCAGAAUUAUGCAGGAGCGUCAACUUUAAGAUGUUACAGCUGUGAAUCAUGCGGUGAUCCUUUUAAUAAAACUGCCGUAUUGAAUGUGACAUGUUCUGGCUCUUGUCUUAAAUCAAACUACGAUGGAUGGAUUACAAGAGGCUGUUCAAAUAUUUCUCUAGUACCAGGAUGUACCCGAAAUAAAGAACUUCUGGUAUGUGUAUGUGACACGUAUCUUUGUAACAAGACGCAAGGAAAACACACAUGUUUGGUUGGACCAUAUAUCAUCUGCAUCAUCUAUUUCCUUUUACAAACUCUCGAUAAACAUUUUAAUUGACAUAAUUCAUAUUUGUCAUUGUUUUCAGUUACCUUAAUCUUUAGAGACACAUUAUUACGAAACGCUCGUUUGAACUUUACAUUACAAGUUUCAGAUGACUUUAAUUGCAUAGCAAACAGCUAAAGACAAAGACUACAGUUCCAGUUUCUAAAUGAGAUUAUUGUAAAUGACUAUCUUUUGACAAAUAUGGAUGAUAUCCAUUUUAUAGUUUAGUUGAUGAGUAAUACCCUAAUCAUAAAUAAUUAUACAAAAUGUACAUAUUGUUUUUGAUUUUGUCUUUACAUUGCUUUGCUCUGUUUGUCUUUAUUAAAGCAAGUUAACGUAUUAUUUGUAUUGUAUUUCCAUUCAAAUGGCCAAAUGUUUAUUUGUUGUUACAAAAGUUAAAAUGAUAUACAUUGUAGUUUUAUACAUAGUAUUCUUUAUUAAAAGGAAUAAAACUAUAUCUAAGAAACGUUUGUUAAAACUUUAAAAAAACAGUUUAUUAUGAUUUGUCCAUAAUGUUAUUAUUCAUUUUCGAAAGUUUUGUACAGUAAUAGAGAACGAUUCUUUGAUAAUACACACAUGAAUUUAUACUGUAUAUAAACAGAAUAAAAUGUUUCGGAACAAAAUACUUAAAUAGGAUUUAACAAUUUAAGAAUAUUUUUGUGAAUGUGCUAUUGGCUCAUAUGGUAUAAUACCAACAUUGUCUUUCAUACAGAUUGUCAGAUUGAAAAAUUAUAGCUAUGCACGCAAGAGUAUGACGGCAAGAACAAAGACAUUGAUCAUUUAGCUUGAAUACACUUUCAUACAAACAUAAGGCGGUAGAUAGGGGUAUAUUUAGUGGAGAACAAGAAGAAAGCAAUUUUUCUUCUUAUUGUAUUUUGCUAAACAAUGCAAAAUGGUAUAAUGAAAAAAUGAUUUUCUGCUAUAAAGCAAACUGCAUAAAUAAUUACUUAAAGUAAUUUCAACACAUACGACGAUCCAGAAUGACAUUGAUUGGCUUAGAAUAACGACUUAAUUGCUUUAGCCUGUACAACCAUUUAGUACAUUCAGAUAGAAUUGCUAAGUUUAGCCAUUACUACAAUUUCAUCUUUUAAACUUUAUAAAGCACGUUAAUGGAUUGAUGUGAAUAUUUAUAAACAAUGCUUUAUUUGAUUGUAAACAUAAAUACUUUUAUCUGUUCAGUGUUAUAUAUUGCAUGUAUUUUCUAUCCUUCAUAUGACUUUUCAUGUUCAAAUUCUUAUUCAUUUGCGGAUCAGAAGCAUGCCAUUUAAGCUAUACUUAGAAUCAAAUAAAAAGACACUAGCAAUGUACCACACCAUGCGCCAUGAAAAAGACCCUUGAGAAUUCACAAGUUUGUUUCGUGAGAACGCUUAUUAUGAUUUGUCUUCAAGAAGAAUCGAUCACUUUCAAAAGAGUUGCUGGCAAAUUUCGUGUCUAUUAAUUAUGAACACUCGA